GAAAGAGAGGAGAAAGGAAAAUGAAAGGAAAGAAAAAAAAAAGAAGAAAAGAAAAAGAACAAGAAAAAAUAACAUAUAAUAAUGAUCAUCGCGCUGUGUCUUAUUUUUAUUAUCGUUAAAACAUACACACGAUCUGAAUGACUUGUUAAUGACAUUAUAAGUAUAAAUAAGUUGGAUAUUAUUAUAAAAACAACAAAAAAGAAAAAAAGGGAAAUUAAGAUAAGAAAAGUAUCAUAGGUUCGUGCAGGCACACCAUGAUAAACUGCGAUGAACUUUUUGUGUAUCGAAGUAUCACAUUUCUUAUUGGAUUUAUUUGAUUUCAUUUUGCAAUAAAUACAACAAUUACACGUCUUUGUUUGUUUUUUGUUUAUUUUCUUUUGCUUUCUUUCUUUCUUUCUUUCUUUCUUUCUUUCUUUUUCUUUUUCUUUUUCUUUUCUUCUUUUUUUUUUUCUUCCUUUCACCACACUUUUAUUAAUCUACCAGUAUCAUAAUUUCUCUUUCCAUUGAUAUCGAUCUAAUUUUAUUCUAUCACGGAUUAAAUUUAAUUUAUAAAAUUAAUCCCAAUUUAAUCAAUAGAUAUGCAAAUUUUGUUUAAUUUUACUAAUUAUACCUGAUUAUUAUUUGCCACAUUAAGAAUUGAAAAAAGAAAAUAUUUUAUAAAAUGUCACAAACUGUAUAAACGAAUAUACCAUGUAAAAUCUUUUUCAUUUUCGAUCGAUCGCAACCAAUCGAAUUCAAUAUUUAACGCGAUGAGAUAUCUCUCUGUAUAUAUUGUAAAUUUACUUGUAAAGAAACAGACAAGGGGAAAAAAAAGAGAGAGGAAGAAGAAGAAGAAGAAGAAGA